AAUAAAUUUUAUUCUAGUUUAUAAAGAUUUUUGGGUGGUAAAAUAUGAUAUGUGAAUUUUUGUGUGUGGUUUUAUUCGUUUUAAUAAUGAAUUUAUAUAUUUAAAUAUAUGCAGCUUUUAUUUUUAUGUAUUUGGUAAUUUAAGACAUAGUUAAUCAUUUUAUGACUAGCAAAAAUUGUGCCAGCAGCUGCGGUUAUACAAUUAGUCGGAAAUAUUUUUAUUAGAAAAAUUAUUUAUAUUCUUGUUUUUGAUUAUAUUCUUAAAUUUUUUAAGUGAAAUUUAAAAUUUUUUUGUAUAAUUAGGUUAUAGAUUAUAAGAUAUUCUUAAUUUAAACUAGGAUUAGAUACCCUAUUAUUGAGAAUGUAAAUUUAGUUUCUUAGUAUUAUAAGUUAUGAUCUUUAAAUUGAAAGAAUUUGACGGUAAUUUAAUCAUUUUAGAGGAACCUGUUCUAUAAUCGAUAAUCCACGAUACAUUUUACCUUUAAUUAUAUACUAUGGUUUGUAUAUCUCUGUCUGAAAUGAAUGUUUUAUUAGGAUAUUUUCAUAGAUUUUUAAUUGAAAAUUAUGUCAGGUCAAGGUGCAGCUGUAUAAAGGAUUGAAAUGGGUUACAUUUAAUAUGGGAAUUAUUGGAUUAAUUCAUUAAUUAAUGAAUUAUGAAAUUGGAUUUAAUUGUAAUGUUUAAUAUAUAUUAUUCAUGAUAUAUGUUCUUGAUUAAGUACACAUCGCCCGUCACUCUCAUUAAUAAGAUGAGAUAAGUCGUAACAAAGUAGUCCUAUCGGAAGAUGGGGCUGGAAUUAU
rnacentral:ncRNA from 1 species